UGUUAUGGCGGCUGUGCGUGGGAGACCUUCGGGUCUGCCGGUUUCCUUGGUUUCCGGUUUUCCAACCUGCGCAUAGCUGCCACCCAU
rnacentral:antisense_RNA from 4 species